rnacentral:rRNA from 1 species
GACGAACGCUGGCGGCGUGCCUAAUACAUGCAAGUAGAACGCUGAAGGAGGAGCUUGCUUCUCUGGAUGAGUUGCGAACGGGUGAGUAACGCGUAGGUAACCUGCCUGGUAGCGGGGGAUAACUAUUGGAAACGAUAGCUAAUACCGCAUAAGAGUAGAUGUCGCAUGACAUUUGCUUAAAGGUGCAAUUGCAUCACUACCAGAUGGACCUGCGUUGUAUUAGCUAGUUGGUGAGGUAACGGCUCACCAAGGCAACGAUACAUAGCCGACCUGAGAGGGUGAUCGGCCACACUGGGACUGAGACACGGCCCAGACUCCUACGGGAGGCAGCAGUAGGGAAUCUUCGGCAAUGGACGGAAGUCUGACCGAGCAACGCCGCGUGAGUGAAGAAGGUUUUCGGAUCGUAAAGCUCUGUUGUAAGAGAAGAACGAGUGUGAGAGUGGAAAGUUCACACUGCGACGGUAUCUUACCAGAAAGGGACGGCUAACUACGUG